GGACGGUUAGCUCAGCUGGUAGAGCGUCUCGUUGACGUCGAGAAGGUCACAGGUUCGAGCCCUGUAUCGUCCACCA
rnacentral:tRNA from 1 species